ensembl:lncRNA
CCCCAUCCCAACUCCUGGCUGGUGAACUGAGUGACGACAGCGAGGGAACACUGGUGGGAGUGGAAGAAAUGACUUCGCGGGAGGACGGGGACUUGGAGACGUCCCUCAGCGAAGGCACCCCACCCAGAAUGGAUGGGCCACUACCUGUGCAGGACAACGCGGCGCCUUCAGCCCCCUGCGGGCCUUCACAGCCCGGCACUGCGGCUCCUGACGAGCUGCUGGGCACUGUGGAGGAGGUGGUGCAUCCCUCUUCAGAGGAGGUGGUGCAUCCCUCUUCAGAGGAGGUGGUGCCCUGUACCCGGGAGGAGGUGGUGCCCUGUACCCGGGAGGAGGUGGUGAAUCCUUCUUCAGAGGAGGUGGUGCCCUGUACCCGGGAGGAGGUGGUGAAUCCCUCUUCAGAGGAGGUGGUGAAUCCCUCUUCAGAGGAGGUGGUGAAUCCCUCUUCAGAGGAGGUGGUGAAUCCCUCUUCAGAGGAGGUGGUGCCCUGUACCCGG